GACGAACGCUGGCGGCGUGCUUAACACAUGCAAGUCGAACGGAAAGGCCCUGCUUUUGUGGGGUGCUCGAGUGGCGAACGGGUGAGUAACACGUGAGUAACCUGCCCUUGACUUUGGGAUAACUUCAGGAAACUGGGGCUAAUACCGGAUAGGAGCUCCUGCUGCAUGGUGGGGGUUGGAAAGUUUCGGCGGUUGGGGAUGGACUCGCGGCUUAUCAGCUUGUUGGUGGGGUAGUGGCUUACCAAGGCUUUGACGGGUAGCCGGCCUGAGAGGGUGACCGGCCACAUUGGGACUGAGGUACGGCCCAGACUCCUACGGGAGGCAGCAGUGGGGAAUAUUGCACAAUGGGCGGAAGCCUGAUGCAGCAACGCCGCGUGCGGGAUGACGGCCUUCGGGUUGUAAACCGCUUUCGCCUGUGACGAAGCGUGAGUGACGGUAAUGGGUAAAGAAGCACCGGCUAACUA
rnacentral:rRNA from 1 species